rnacentral:rRNA from 1 species
UAAUACCAGCUCUCCGAGUGGUAGGGAUGAUUAUUGGGCUUAAAGCGUCCGUAGCCGGCCUAGCAAGUCUUCCGUUAAAUCCAACGAUUCAAUCGUUGGACUGCGGGAGAUACUGUUGGGCUAGGGGGCGGGAGAGGCCGACGGUAUUCUCGGGGUAGGGGUAAAAUCCUAUAAUCCCGGGAGGACCACCAGUGGCGAAGGCGGCCUCCUAGGCUGUUUCUGACGCUGAGGCCCGAAAGCGUGGGGAGCAAACAGACUUAGAUACUCUGGUAGUCCACGCCGUAAACGAUGGACACUAGGUAUAGGGAGUAUCGACCCUCUCUGUGCCGAAGCUAACGCAUUAAGUGUCCCGCCUAGGGACUACGGCCGCAAGGCUA